rnacentral:lncRNA from 1 species
CUGAAAAUUAUGCGACUAAGAUAAAAGUCAGACAAUGUAAAGCAAUAGAGAAUCAAUCUUAUUUUAGAUGAAACAAGUAUCCACUAGGUCAAUCUAACAUAAAGAUAAAAGGGUAGAUAAUGCUAAUAUCCUAAUUUAAACAAAUCUUGUAGUUGAUUAAUUAUUGACAGCUAGUCUCUAGGUUCUUAAUUAUUGACAGCUAGUCUCGACAACUGAAACAUUUUCUUGAAUCUCGUCAACCUCCUUUUGAGUCAAUUCUAUAACAUCUUCGAGGUUCUCCCUCUAUUGUUGUAAUGUCUGCAACUUCUUCACAAUUAUCUUCAAUUUCUUUUCACUACAAUAAAGUUUCUUUACUUCCUCACUUGCUUCAAAUUUUAAUGAUUCGACACGCUCCUUAGCUUUGAAAAUCAGCUCUAGCUUCUCAUCUCGAAUCGUCUUAUCAACCAAAUUGGAUCAUUCUUGGUCAUAUGAAGCAGCAAGCUGGAAAAGAGAAUCCAGUAAACACUCUAAUAGAGAAAGAUCUAAAAUAUAUUCACCUUUUUCAUAUCCUCGAAAAUCUCAAUGAUUUGCUCCCUAUAAGAUGAGAGCAGUUCUGCACGAGUUUUUGAGAGUCUAUUGCAAAUAUCAUCCCUAAGUCCCAAGAUGAAUUCUUUUUUGUCAUUAACGACAAUGCUCUUUCCUUCAAAAAUAGACACUCCUGCAUUUGUCAUUGGUGGAACGCGAGUUAUCCCGUUUGAAGUUUGUCUUUUUAGUGCUUUGCCAUGAAGAAGAGAUGAUGACUUUGAAGAAAACUUCACUUUAGACGUAGGUCCUCCAAUAGAUUCAUUAUUCACUUGCGGCUUGUCAUAUGGGAAUACCAUAGGAUGCCAAUGGCAUUUAACUGUGUAAGGAAAAGGCAAAGAAAGUGAGUAAUUUUUAAUAAAGCGAUUCGUUCAAAAAAACUUUAAAAGGGGGAAAAAGGCAAUGUCAUUGUGUUUUACCUCUUUGUUACAAGUUGUAUGCAUUC